AGUGGCGGACGGGUGAGUAAUGCAUAGGAAUCUACCCAGUAGUGGGGGAUAACGUGAAGAAAUUCACGCUAAUACCGCAUAUGUCCUACGGGGCAAAGCAGGGGACCUUCGGGCCUUGCGCUAUUGGAUGAGCCUAUGUCGGAUUAGCUUGUUGGUGGGGUAAAAGCCUACCAAGGCGACGAUCCGUAGCUGGUCUGAGAGGAUGAUCAGCCACACCGGGACUGAGACACGGCCCGGACUCCUACGGGAGGCAGCAGUGGGGAAUAUUGCACAAUGGGCGCAAGCCUGAUGCAGCAAUGCCGCGUGUGUGAAGAAGGCCUGCGGGUUGUAAAGCACUUUUAUUAGGAAAGAAAAACCCGAAGUUAAUACCUUCGGUCUUGACGGUACCUAAAGAAUAAGCACCGGCUAACUCAGUGCCAGCAGCCGCGGUAAUACUGAGGGUGCAAGCGUUAAUCGGAAUUACUGGGCGUAAAGCGAGUGUAGGCGGCUAUAUAAGUCGGAUGUGAAAUCCCCGGGCUCAACCUGGGAAUUGCAUUCGAUACUGUAUAGCUAGAGUUUGAUAGAGGUAAGUGGAAUUCCAGGUGUAGCGGUGAAAUGCGUAGAUAUCUGGAGGAACAUCAGUGGCGAAGGCGGCUUACUGGAUCAAAACUGACGCUGAGGCUCGAAAGCGUGGGGAGCAAACAGGAUUAGAUACCCUGGUAGUCCACGCCCUAAACUAUGUCAACUAGACGUUGGGUUCAUUAAGGAACUUAGUGUCGAAGCUAACGCGUUAA
rnacentral:rRNA from 1 species